UUAAGGAAAAUAUCAGAGAACAUCCAGGAAAGCAGGACUUGAUAUUUCCUCUACUAUGUGUGAAAGCUCCCUUUUAUGCUGCCAUCUACUGAGUUACCAAGUAUGGCCCUUGCCUCACCUCAGCUUUGUCAGGCUUCUGAUUCCCUUUAAAAAAAGAGUAAACAUCUUCCUCCAAAUCAUGUCAGCUGGAGGCAGCCAAGAGGACUGAGAUUUAUCACACACCUACGAGUCCUGGGGACCCUGGAAGGAGUUGGGCCAGAACUCCUCAGGUCCUUGAGGGAGCAAGAUGGAGAGGAUCCAUGACAAGAUCAGAAAGACCAGCCAAAGAAUCUAGAAGAGUAGAAGGGAAAUUUUUUCCUCCCCAACACUGUCCAGGGAAAUAUAAUUUUUAAAUAUCUUCAUUCAGUUUCAUAUUAGACUUUAUUCUUGGACUUUAGAAAUCCCAUGCUCCCACUUUCCAGACGGGG